rnacentral:misc_RNA from 1 species
GAGCAUACGGAAACCCAAAUGCACAAGCAGCUGGUUAUGUUAAUGGACCACCUGGUGCUCCUAGGAGCCCAUGGAGCAACCAGGCUCCAACUGGUUACGGCUCUGCUGGUUAUGGUGCAAAUGCUGGCUAUGGAGCUGCUCCUACUUGGAAUGCAGCUGCAGGUGGCGGGGGAGGAGCUGCUGCCCCUACUGGCCAAUCCCCAAGUGGCGCUGCUGGAUAUGGGAAUCAGGGAUAUGGUUAUAGUGGAUAUGGUGGGGCAGAGGGCUCUUAUGGUAAUCAGGGUGGUUAUGGUGCUGUUGGUGGUCGUGGUAG